UAGGGAAUAUUAGAAAUGGCCGAAAGUCUGAUCUAGCAACACCGCGUGUGCGAAGAAGGCCUUCGGGUUGUAGAGCACUUUUUGGAAGGAUUAGGAAGGAAUGUACUUCCAGAAUAAGUCUCGGCUAACUACGUGCCAGCAGCCGCGGUAACACGUAGGAGGCAAACGUUAUCCGGAUUUACUGGGCGUAAAGCGCGUGUAGGUGGUUCUGUAAGUAGGGCGUGAAAGCUCCUGGCUCAACUGGGAGAGGCCGUUCUAAACUGCAGAGCUAGAGGAUGGUAGAGGGAGGUGGAAUUCCGGGCGUAGCGGUGGAAUGCGCAGAUAUCCGGAGGAACACCAGUGGCGAAAGCGGCCUCCUGGACCAUUCCUGACACUCAGACGCGAAAGCUAGGGUAGCAAACG
rnacentral:rRNA from 1 species